rnacentral:tRNA from 2 species
AAUUGAAUGGCAGAGUUAUGCAACGAAUUUAAGUUUCGUAUAUAAAGAUUACUUUUU